AGAGUUUGAUCCUGGCUCAGAUUGAACGCUGGCGGCAUGCCUUACACAUGCAAGUCGAACGGCAGCACGGGAGUAAUCCUGGUGGCGAGUGGCGAACGGGUGAGUAAUAUAUCGGAACGUGCCCAGUCGUGGGGGAUAACGCAGCGAAAGCUGUGCUAAUACCGCAUACGAUCUAUGGAUGAAAGCGGGGGAUCGCAAGACCUCGCGCGAUUGGAGCGGCCGAUAUCAGAUUAGCUAGUUGGUGGGGUAAAGGCCCACCAAGGCGACGAUCUGUAGCUGGUCUGAGAGGACGACCAGCCACACUGGAACUGAGACACGGUCCAGACUCCUACGGGAGGCAGCAGUGGGGAAUUUUGGACAAUGGGCGCAAGCCUGAUCCAGCAAUGCCGCGUGCAGGAUGAAGGCCUUCGAGUUGUAAACUGCUUUUGUACGGAACGAAACGGUCGCCUCUAAUAAAGGUGGCUAAUGACGGUACCGUAAGAAUAAGCACCGGCUAACUACGUGCCAGCAGCCGCGGUAAUACGUANGGUGCGAGCGUUAAUCGGAGUUACUGGGCGUAAAGCGUGCGCAGGCGGUGAUGUAAGACAGAUGUGAAAUCCCCGGGCUCAACCUGGGACCUGCAUUUGUGACUGCAUCGCUAGAGUACG
rnacentral:rRNA from 1 species